UACAGGGGUGCAAACGUUGCUCGGAAUCAUUGGGCGUAAAGCGCACGUAGGCGGUCUGUUAUGUCGGAUGUGAAAGCCCUGGGCUCAACCCAGGAAGUGCACUCGAAACUAGAUAGCUAGAAUCUUGGAGAGGCGAGUGGAAUUCCGAGUGUAGAGGUGAAAUUCGUAGAUAUUCGGAAGAACACCAAGUGGCGAAGGCGACUCGCUGGACAAGUAUUGACGCUGAGGUGCGAAAACGUGGGGACAACAGGG
rnacentral:rRNA from 1 species